CCCUUGAUGGUCUAGUUGGUUAUGGCGUCCGACUGUAAAUCGGAAAGUCGCCGGAUCGACUCCGGCUCGAGGGA
rnacentral:tRNA from 1 species